rnacentral:rRNA from 1 species
UCGGGAAUUUUGGGCAAUGGGCGAAAGCCUGACCCAGCAACGCCGCGUGAGGGAUGAAGUAUUUCGGUAUGUAAACCUCGAAAGAAUGGGAAGAAUAAAUGACGGUACCAUUUAUAAGCUCCGGCUAACUACGUGCCAGCAGCCGCGGUAAUACGUAGGGAGCAAGCGUGGUUCGGAUUUACUGGGCGUAAAGGGCGCGUAGGCGGCGCGGUAAGUCACUUGUGAAAUCUCUGAGCUUAACUCAGAACGGCCAAGUGAUACUGCUGUGCUAGAGUGCGGAAGAGGCAACCGGAAUUCUUGGUGUAGCGGUGAAAUGCGUAGAUAUCAAGAGGAACACUUGAUGCGAAGGCGGGUUGCUGGGCCGACACUGACGCUGAUGCGCGAAAGCCAGGGGAGCAAAC